rnacentral:rRNA from 1 species
ACGAACGCUGGCGGCGUGCUUCACACAUGCAAGUCGAACGGUAAGGCCCCUUCGGGGGUACCCGAGUGGCGAACGGGUGAGUAACACGUGAGCAACCUGCCCUUGACUCUGGAAUAACAGUUGGAAACAGCUGCUAAUACUGGAUAUUCAUCGUCUCCUUCCUGGGGGGUGGUGGAAAGCUCCGGCGGUCAGGGAUGGGCUCGCGGCCUAUCAGCUUGUUGGUGAGGUAAUGGCUCACCAAGGCUUCGACGGGUAGCCGGCCUGAGAGGGCGACCGGCCACACUGGGACUGAGAUACGGCCCAGACUCCUACGGGAGGCAGCAGUGGGGAAUAUUGCACAAUGGGCGCAAGCCGGAUGCAGCAACGCCGCGUGCGGGAUGACGGCCUUCGGGUUGUAAACCGCUUUCAGUAGGGACGAAGGGUGACUGACGGUACCUACAGAAGAAGGACCGGCUAACUACGU